UACGGAGGGUGCAAGCGUUAAUCGGAAUUACUGGGCGUAAAGCGCACGUAGGUGGUUUGUCGCGUCUGCUGUGAAAAUCCGGGGCUCAACCCCGGACUUGCAGUGGGUACGGGCAGACUAGAGUGCGGUAGGGGAGAUUGGAAUUCCUGGUGUAGCGGUGGAAUGCGCAGAGUAUCAGGAGGAACACCGGUGGCGAAGGCGGGUCUCUGGGCAACAACUGACGCUGAGGAGCGAAAGCGUGGGGAGCGAACAGG
rnacentral:rRNA from 1 species